GAUGAACGCUGGCGGCGUGCCUAAUACAUGCAAGUCGAGCGAACAGACGAGGAGCUUGCUCCUCUGACGUUAGCGGCGGACGGGUGAGUAACACGUGGAUAACCUACCUAUAAGACUGGGAUAACUUCGGGAAACCGGAGCUAAUACCGGAUAAUAUAUUGAACCGCAUGGUUCAAUAGUGAAAGACGGUUUUGCUGUCACUUAUAGAUGGAUCCGCGCCGCAUUAGCUAGUUGGUAAGGUAACGGCUUACCAAGGCAACGAUGCGUAGCCGACCUGAGAGGGUGAGCGGCCACACUGGAACUGGGACACGGUCCAGACUCCUACGGGAGGCAGCAGUAGGGAAUCUUCCGCAAUGGGCGAAAGCCUGACGGAGCAACGCCGCGUGAGUGAUAAAGGUCUUCGGAUCGUAAAACUCUGUUAUUAGGGAAGAACAAAUGUGUAAGUAACUAUGCACGUCUUGACGGUACCUAAUCAGAAAGCCACGGCUAACUACGUG
rnacentral:rRNA from 1 species